rnacentral:tRNA from 1 species
GUUGGAGUGGCAGAGCUAGGAAAAUGCAAAAGACUUAAACCCUUUACUCAGGGGUUCAAUUCCCCUCCCCAACUAU